CCUCCCUCACCAUAGCUGGGCCACUUGUAGUGGUUAACUGGGCAUGCCCUUACUUGUUUAUAUAGUUCUCCUGCAUUUCAGGUACCAACAUAGACUUUCCAUGCUCACAGUAACCCUAGCUACUUGCAGGAGCCUCUUUCUGUUACUUUGGUUUUGGAAGCACAACUGUUUCCACCACUUCUGCACUCACUGACCUGUCUCUCACAGGAUGGGCAUCCAUACUGUCACAGUCAUACUGAGUUUAUUUGGUAUGUGCCAGUCUAUCUUUGAUAACCUUUACAAUGUACAUAUUAAAUGGUUGGGUUUCUUGACCUUCACAUAUAAGGAUAAGUCCAAAAGUUAUUUCAGUGAUUCCCUCUGCUUAAGGUAUAUUUAUGAAAUGCUUAGCCUUCAAUUGGGGUUUAGAGUCUAGAUCCUAAGCUUUCCCACUUUGUUUUAAUUAUUAAAAGCUUGAUAUUUUGUAUCAAACUAAAGACCUCUCAGGUUAAACUUACUCUCCUUGAUUGUUACUCAGACUUUUGGUAGUUAAUCUUGUGUACUGCAAGCUGCAGUACAGAGCAACAGUGUUUAUGUAGCUCUGUUCCUUUCUGCUAGUUCCUCCAUGUGGCUUUCAUAGUACAUGGAUUUGAGUAUUUUAAUUAUCCUGUCACUCAAUGGGUUUAGCUUUGACCAUGAUCUCUCACAGGUAAACUACUGAGUACAGUGUUCUCUAUGAGACCUGAAUGUCUUCAAACUCUGUAGAACAGUGUAUUUCAUCAGCAUCUAUUGGGAGACUGCAGCAAGACUUCUCAGCGGCACUUGAGAUUCUCAUUAAGUUAACUGGACUCUUUCAUGUUGCCUUUUCAUCUGUUAUUCUUACCCUAUGCUUGUUUGUUUGGGAGUAUUGUUUGUUUGUAAGAUAGUCCAUAUUAUUUGUAGUCUUUAAAUCCUACCCCUUAUGAUGUUUGUUUUUGCUUAAUUACUUUGCCCAGCCACCCACCUCCACCCAGGUCUCAUUAUGCAUCUCUGAUUGUCCCAGAACUCACUGUGUAGGCCAUGCUGGCCUUGAACUCGCAGAGAUACUCUGCUCUUUAUAGAAAUGAAACAAAGCAUGUAUUUGUAUGUGUGCAUGGGCCUGUGGAUGUCAGAAGAUAACUUUUGAGAGUCUUUUCUCUUUCUUCCAUGUGAGCUUCAGGGAAUCCAGUUUUGGUUGUUGGGACUGAUAGCAAUAGUCUGUACCUACUGAGCUAGCUUACUGGUUCCUGUUUAUUUUUGCGGCAGAGUAUCACUGUUUAGCCCAGGCUGGCCUCCAAUUCAUGGCAGUCCUCUCACCUCACCUUGCUGGGCGUUGCUAUUACAGGCAUGAACAAGUGUUAUGAGCUUGUUUUGUAUGUUCUAAUCAGAACACUGCUUAUAGAAAGCAGAGGUUGGACCUCAGAGCAUACUAGCGGAGACUUUCUCCCAGAGGUUCACAGGAGUUUUAAGCUUUAUCUACAGGUUUAAUUUCAAAUGUUUGCUCACCAUUCCAGUCUAGUCAGUACCAGGAACAGAAGAAUGUGGUGAGGCUGGUAAUGAUUUCAUCUAAGUGACCUAACCUCUUCCAGCAGCCUAUUUGAUAGAAUUGUAGACCUUAACUGGGACAUGACAAGCUCACCUGGUCUAUGUGCAUUGUGACAUCUGUGUUAUUCCAUGGGAGAAAGCCAAAGCUGUAUUUUCUCAGUACUAGUCUCCUGGAUGUCUCCUGUUUCUUACAGUCUUAGAGUGCUGAACUUACUGAGGAGUUCCCUUGUUCCUUGAAUUGUAGCAGUACUUCUAGGAGCAGUGAGAACUGCAAGGAAGCAGUGCCUUCCAUCAUCAGAGACCUCUGAGGGCUGAGGCCAGAUCACCCAAUCUAGAGAUUGAAUGAUAAAAUGCUGUUAAGAGCUGGGAGUGGGGCUCAGUGGGUAAGAGCACUUGUCACACAAGCAUGAGUGCCUGGGUUCAGCUCUCCAAUGCUCAUGUGAAAAACUAGACAUGCCUGUGUGCACCUGUAACCUCACUCAGUGCUAGAGGGGAAGGCAGAGACAGAGGGAUCACUGGGGCUUAUUGGCUGCCAGCCUAGUUCCACAUUCACUAAGAGACACUGUCCCAAGGGAUUAAGGCAGUGAAUAAUAGAACAGGACACUUCAUGUCCUCCACUUACAUACAUACACCCCAUGUGUGCGUACAAUAUGCAUACAACAUAUGUACAUGCUCACAUACACACACAAAAAUGUUGAGAAAUAGUUUUCCAUAUGAGAUGCAUAUGAAAGGCCAGGUUGAUAUUACGUGGUAAAAUCUUUGUUUACAUACAGACUACUUUUUCUUUGAGCUUCAGUUUUUUAUUUUAAGUGAGAGUAAUAAAAAUGGAAAUAAUGAUGGUACCUAAUUCAUAUGAUUAUGGAACUAUAUGAGAAAUAUCUAUAAAGUGCCUAGACUAGUACUUAAUAUAUAGUGAGAGCUAGGUGAGUUUUUAAAUUCCUUGCAUAGAUACAGAAAUCUCUAUUCCCUCAUUAUGUGUGCAUAAGUCUAUGCACACACUCUGUAUGCACACAUACAAACAUUUCUGAAUGGUAAGUCUUGAUCAGUAGAAGUCUGCUUUAUAAAGCAUUUCGUGUUAUAAUUUUAUUCAUGAUAGUUUUUUGAGAUUUAACUCUUAGUACCUCAAGUUCCUUAUCUGAAAUGAGGAUAUAUCUAUUCCUUGGCCAUUUAGAAAGAAGGCAGCAGGCCUUGAGUUUUGGCCUCUUAAUAAUCACUUAGCUCUUUGCAGUUUUAAGUUUCUAUCUGAAAAGUAAGGAGGUUUGGCUGAUCUUUAUGUCCUUUUCUAGGCCUACUUUGGCUAUUGUAAUCCUGAAACUUGGAGCACACAGCACAGUUCUAAAUGUGUCUUUAGGAGCUUCCUGAUUUGGAACUGUAGUCAGCUAUAUUCCCUGGGUAACAGAUAGAGAGAAAUUUGCUUGCAUUGUUUUAUUGGGAGGAAGCAGGACUGGGCAGGUAGAGGAACAAAGGUAUUAGACAGUGGAGGCAGUUGCAGCCAGUGCUU
rnacentral:lncRNA from 1 species